AGGAAACUGUGGGAAUUCUUGCCUCAUACUCCCAAGUUGGUGCUUUCAGUGCAAUUUUUACCCACUUGCAGCUGUGCUGUGAGUAUUGCUGCUCUGUGACAGUGAUGUUGAUGUCCUUAUUUAAACCUCUGAGGCUCAGUCUCUGCAUCUGAUUCAAGAUUCUGAAAGUCUUGGCAUCUACCCUGGUGCUACUUGAUGAAUUGUAAGACAUGAAAGAAACUGUAUUUUGCCCAUUCCACUUUUUACCUUAGUUGUGGCAUGCCACAUUAUCUGUCACAGAGGGGAAAAACACAUGUGAAUGAAUGUAAUCCAUUUAUUGGUUUAUGGUCACAAAGUCCUCAAGGGAGUGUUCUAAUUCCAGAACGCUGGAUUUUCUAUUUCGGUGAGUUAGCAGAAAGACGUCGCUUCCUAUUCACUGUAUGUCCAGCACUAUCUGGUGAACUCAUCAAAGGUGAAGAGCAACCACAGAAGCAAGGAAGAUAAAAGCAAGGUGCAGCUCAAGACAUCACAUCUGCAUGUUAUGAAGAAUUGCAUGAAAUCUUGACCUUGCUUUCAGUACUUUUGUGCUGAAUUCAAGCAGUGUAAGUCAGGAAAACACCCAGUGAGAGGAGUAAGUACUUCAAGUAAAAGGAAAAACUCAUAACACAGAAGAGAGAAUGCUGAGAAUGGAAGAAAAUUGUUCAGAGGGAUCAGCGGUGGGAUGGUGUCAUAGGCAGCCAGAAGAAGGAUAAGGUUUGGAGGAUGUCUGCAGAGAAGCAGUUGGGACUACUUGAAAACAACAGAACCCAAAGAUGUUACCCACUGUGAGCCCUGCUGGUAAUUCUGUAGCACACUUUGGCUCCAUCCACAAGUUCCUGCCUGCCGGCUCAUUAAGUCAAUCCAUUUGGUUUUUUUUUUUUUUGUUUUUGUUUUGGUUUUUUUUUGGUGACGAUAAGCAUGGAAACGUUUUGGGCAAUCUGUGACAGCAUCAUUCAAUGUAUGACCGAGCUGUGGGGAGAUUAAUGAGACUCCAUAGCUCUUCUGAAAUUUCUUUUUGGUGAUUGUGAAAACAGAAGUAUAAUUUCAUGAAAAAAAAAAAAAAAAAAGAAAAAAGAAAAAAAAAAGGUGAUAACUUCUCAUGAAGUUUUGUUUAAAAUAAAGCCCCAAAGCAAUCUGCUCUGGACA
rnacentral:lncRNA from 1 species